rnacentral:rRNA from 1 species
UACAGAGGGGGCAAGCGUUGUUCGGAAUUACUGGGCGUAAAGGGCGCGUAGGCGGCCUGCUAAGUCGAACGUGAAAUCCCUGGGCUCAACCCAGGAACUGCGUCCGAUACUGGUUGGCUUGAAUCCGGGAGAGGGAUGCGGAAUUCCAGGUGUAGCGGUGAAAUGCGUAGAUAUCUGGAGGAAGACCAGUGGCGAAGGCGGAUCUCUGGACAGUUACUGACACUGAGGCACGAAGGCCAGGGGAGCAAACGGG